GUCCAGGGAAGGGAAUCGAACCCACAAUGUUCCGCUUACCGGGCAGAUGUCAUGUCCACUAGGCUACCCUGGA
rnacentral:tRNA from 1 species